rnacentral:rRNA from 1 species
UACGGGGGGGGUAAGCGUUGUUCGGAAUUACUGGGCGUAAAGGGCUCGUAGGCGGCCAACUAAGUCAUACGUGAAAUCCCUCAGGCUCAACCUGGGGACGCCACUCGAUACUGCUGUGGCUAGAGUCCAGUAGAGGAGUGUGGAAUUCCCGGUGUAGCGGUGAAAUGCGCAGAUAUCGGGAGGAACACCAACGGCGAAGGCAGCACUCUGGGCUGGAACUGACGCUGAGGAGCGAAAGCGUGGGUACGGCAAACGAGGAAGAUUAUGA